UACAGAGGGUGCGAGCGUUGUCCGGAAUCACUGGGCGUAAAGGGCGCGUAGGCGGGAUGGCAAGUCGGUCGUGAAAUCCUUCGGCCCAACCGAAGAACGUCGGCCGAUACUGCCGUUCUUGAGGGAUGCAGAGGAGACUGGAAUUCCCGGUGUAGCGGUGAAAUGUGUAGAGAUCGGGAGGAACACCGGUGGCGAAGGCGGGUCUCUGGGCCUGUUCUGACGCUGAGGCGCGAAAGCUAGGGGAGCGAACAGG
rnacentral:rRNA from 1 species